CGGGCCUCUCGCGUCAGGAUAUGCCCAGGUGGGAUUAGCUAGUUGGUGAGGUAAGGGCUCACCAAGGCGACGAUCCCUAGCUGGUCUGAGAGGAUGAUCAGCCACACUGGAACUGAGACACGGUCCAGACUCCUACGGGAGGCAGCAGUGGGGAAUAUUGCACAAUGGGCGCAAGCCUGAUGCAGCCAUGCCGCGUGUGUGAAGAAGGCCUUCGGGUUGUAAAGCACUUUCAGUCGUGAGGAAGGUGGUAGUGUUAAUAGCACUAUCAUUUGACGUUAGCGACAGAAGAAGCACCGGCUAACUCCGUGCCAGCAGCCGCGGUAAUACGGAGGGUGCGAGCGUUAAUCGGAAUUACUGGGCGUAAAGCGCAUGCAGGUGGUUUGUUAAGUCAGAUGUGAAAGCCCGGGGCUCAACCUCGGAACUGCAUUUGAAACUGGCAGACUAGAGUACUGUAGAGGGGGGUAGAAUUUCAGGUGUAGCGGUGAAAUGCGUAGAGAUCUGAAGGAAUACCGGUGGCGAAGGCGGCCCCCUGGACAGAUACUGACACUCAGAUGCGAAAGCGUGGGGAGCAAACAGGAUUAGAUACCCUGGUAGUCCACGCUGUAAACGAUGUCUACUUGGAGGUUGUGGCCUUGAGCCGUGGCUUUCGGAGCUAACGCGUUAAGUAGACCGCCUGGGGAGUACGGUCGCAAGAUUAAAACUCAAAUGAAUUGACGGGGGCCCGCACAAGCGGUGGAGCAUGUGGUUUAAUUCGAUGCAACGCGAAGAACCUUACCUACUCUUGACAUCCAGAGAAUCUAGCGGAGACGCUGGAGUGCCUUCGGGAACUCUGAGACAGGUGCUGCAUGGCUGUCGUCAGCUCGUGUUGUGAAAUGUUGGGUUAAGUCCCGCAACGAGCGCAACCCUUAUCCUUGUUUGCCAGCGAGUAAUGUCGGGAACUCCAGGGAGACUGCCGGUGAUAAACCGGAGGAAGGUGGGGACGACGUCAAGUCAUCAUGGCCCUUACGAGUAGGGCUACACACGUGCUACAAUGGCGCAUACAGAGGGCGGCCAACUUGCGAAAGUGAGCGAAUCCCAAAAAGUGCGUCGUAGUCCGGAUUGGAGUCUGCAACUCGACUCCAUGAAGUCGGAAUCGCUAGUAAUCGUGGAUCAGAAUGCCACGGUGAAUACGUUCCCGGGCCUUGUACACACCGCCCGUCACACCAUGGGAGUGGGCUGCAAAAGAAGUGGGUAGUUUAACCUUCGGGAGGACGCUCACCACUUUGUGGUUCAUGACUGGGGUGAAGUCGUAACAAGGUAGCGCUAGGGGAACCUGGCGCUGGAUCACCUCCUUAUACGAUGAU
rnacentral:rRNA from 1 species